rnacentral:rRNA from 1 species
UACGUAGGUGACCAGCGUUGUCCGGAUUUACUGGGCGUAAAGAGCGCGCAGGCGGUCGUUCAAGUCGAGUGUGAAAGCCCCCGGCUCAACUGGGGAGGGUCACUUGAUACUGGUCGACUCGAAGGCAGGAGAGGGAAGUGGAAUUCCCGGUGUAGUGGUGAAAUGCGUAGAUAUCGGAAGGAACACCAGUGGCGAAGGCGACUUCCUGGCCUGUUCUUGACGCUGAGGCGCGAAAGCUAGGGGAGCAAACGGG